GAGGUGCACGUAGAUAUGACUGCCGCUGUGGUGCAUUGUAGUUGCAUUGCAUGUGAUAUCAGCGGUGUGCAAUGUGCCUGCAGUGCAACACAGAGGUAGUGCCGGAUCUGCAGCGAGAGA
rnacentral:precursor_RNA from 14 species